UGGGGAAUUUUGGGCAAUGGGCGAAAGCCUGACCCAGCAACGCCGCGUGAAGGAUGAAAUCCCUCUGGGAUGUAAACUUCGAAAGUCGGGAAAGAAAUCGCCAUGGUUAAUAACUGUGGUGGAUGACGGUACCCGACGUAAGCCCCGGCUAACUACGUGCCAGCAGCCGCGGUAAUACGUAGGGGGCAAGCGUUGUUCGGAAUUACUGGGCGUAAAGGGCGCGUAGGCGGCAUGGCAAGUCGGGAGUGAAAGCCCGGGGCUCAACCCCGGAACUGCUUUCGAAACUGCCAAGCUAGAGUACGGAAGGGGCAACUGGAAUUCCCAGUGUAGCGGUGAAAUGCGUAGAUAUUGGGAAGAACACCGGAGGCGAAGGCGGGUUGCUGGGCCGAUACUGACGCUGAGGCGCGAAAGCCAGGGGAGCAAACGGGAUUAGAUACCCCGGUAGUCCUGGCCCUAAACGAUGGAUACUUGGUGUGUGGGGUUCUCAAAGUCCCCGCGUGCCGGAGCUAACGCGUUAAGUAUCCCGCCUGGGGAGUACGGUCGCAAGG
rnacentral:rRNA from 1 species